rnacentral:rRNA from 1 species
AGAGUUUGAUCAUGGCUCAGAACGAACGCUGGCGGCAGGCCUAACACAUGCAAGUCGAACGCCCUAGCAAUAGGGAGUGGCAGACGGGUGAGUAACGCGUGGGAACGUGCCCUUCGGUUCGGAAUAAGCCGGGGAAACCUGGUCUAAUACCGGAUACGUGCGAGAGCAGAAAGAUUUAUCGCCGAAGGAUCGGCCCGCGUCCGAUUAGCUAGUUGGUGAGGUAAUGGCUCACCAAGGCGACGAUCGGUAGCUGGUCUGAGAGGAUGAUCAGCCACACUGGGACUGAGACACGGCCCAGACUCCUACGGGAGGCAGCAGUGGGGAAUAUUGGACAAUGGGCGCAAGCCUGAUCCAGUCAUGCCGCGUGAGUGAUGAAGGCCCUAGGGUUGUAAAGCUCUUUCGCCAGGGACGAUAAUGACGGUACC